AGGAGCUGGAUGAGGCGAGAGCCUCACGUCCGGUUCUCCGAGAACUUAAGGUUGAAACACUUUAAUUUACUCAUU
rnacentral:ncRNA from 1 species